rnacentral:lncRNA from 1 species
GGUUAGAUAUUACUAGAAAUAGCUAGAAAGAAAAAAAGACAAAAAAUAAGAUGUAAGCAAUUACGUAAGUUAUUUUAGUCUUGUAAAAAGUCUUGAUAAGAUUAGGUAGAAUAGUAUUACUUUUUGUAAAGUUUUUUGUUUUGUUUUGUAAAGUGUCGGCAAGAAGAUAAGGUGGAAUAAUUUGAGUGGAUGAUGGGGCCCAAUGA